AAAAUCUCUCCUAAUUGCCGUAACAGAAUGCCAAUAAGAGAGAUGUCAGCCCAACCGAAUCGAUAUCGGACAUAACCUCCAAAACCGUAAUAACCGAAUUCAAAUUCCCCAUUUUCCUAACUGACCUCAAAUAUUAUGUCAUGACUUUGAUCCAUGGAUGUCUCCCUAACAAGCAAUAUUCAUCAGAAUAGUCCAAUUAGCAAAGAAAUAACUCAGAUGCUGGUGGCAUUGCCUGCGAUUAUGUGCCUGCAUUGGUCGGAAUUUCAGCAGACUGUACUGUGCCAAUUUCUGUAUUGGUGGAGGAUGAAAAUGGUGGAAAGGAUCAUAGGGUAAUGAAGCAGUGGACUGAAAGUUGCUGCUAUUCAUAUUUGUGCAUUGAGGUUGAUCAAUUCUAGUCA
rnacentral:lncRNA from 1 species